AUUGAACGCUGGCGGCAUGCUUUACACAUGCAAGUCGAACGGUAACAGGCCGCAAGGUGCUGACGAGUGGCGAACGGGUGAGUAAUGCAUCGGAACGUGACCAGUCGUCGGGGAUAACGCAGCGAAAGCUGCCCUAAUACCGCAUAAGAUCUAUGGAUGAUAGCGGGGGACCGGAAGGACGCCCGCGAUUGGAGCGGCCGAUGUCAGAUUAGGUAGUUGGUGGGGUAAAGGCUCACCAAGCCAACGUACUGUAGCUGGUCUGAGAGGACGACCAGCCACACUGGGACUGAGACACGGCCCAGACUCCUACGGGAGGCAGCAGUGGGGAAUUUUGGACAAUGGGCGCAAGCCUGAUCCAGCAAUGCCGCGUGCAGGAAGAAGGCCUUCGGGUUGUAAACUGCUUUUGUACGGAACGAAACGGUCUGGGUUAAUACCACGGGCUAAUGACGGUACCGUAAGAAUAAGCACCGGCUAACUACGUGCCAGCAGCCGCAGUAAAAC
rnacentral:rRNA from 1 species